UACGUAGGUGGCAAGCGUUGUCCGGAUUUAUUGGGUUUAAAGGGUGCGUAGGCGGUCUAUUAAGUCAGUGCUGAAAUAUCCCGGCUUAACCGGGAGGGUGACAUUGAUACUGAUGGACUUGAGUAAAGUUGAGGUUGGCGGAAUUGACGGUGUAGCGGUGAAAUGCUUAGAUAUCGUCAAGAACACCUAUUGCGAAGGCAGCUAACUAAGCUUAAACUGACGCUGAGGCACGAAAGUGUGGGGAUCAAACAGG
rnacentral:rRNA from 1 species